UAACUGUUCCUAAGCACUGUUCUUAAGGGGCCCGAUUUGAAGCGACGCUUUUGCCCCUGGUCUUUUUUGUCAAAUACGCUGUGUCAUUGGUGUAGUGCGUUGUUAUUCGACAGUGGCUAUUGUGAGGUUGGCUUUUUGCAAUCGAAGGGAGUAGAGCAGAGGAAGGCGAUAGAAGGCUAGAAGCUAUUAAAUUGUUGGGAUCAUCACGGGAAGAAGGGAAGAGAUUGGUUUCUGUUCGGUUUGGAUAAGUGGUCGGCUGUUGGUUGCGUGGAUUGUGAAAGGUUUAACAUCGAAGGGAUAUUGUUUGUUGUGGAAUUUGUGAUUUGAGUAAUUGGCUGGAAGAGCUUGGAGGUUCUAUGCAAAGGAGAGUCUCAAUUGUUUUUCUGCCAUGGUUCCUGUAUCUGUUAUUUGCUAUUGGUUUCGUGUUCUAUUGUUAUUCAGAUUGGAGAAGCUUUUCUGGAUCCUAAAUCACUAUCAUCAUUCUGAACUGGAAUGAUAUACUAUAUUGGAUGAGUAUUUCAAAGCAUAUUAUGCUGCUUUAAGAAAAAUAUGAGAAGAAGAAGCAGCAAAGAGUCGUUAGGUUGGCAUGAAGUCAAAAUUUGAAGAUGAAGAGCAAGAUAAUGUUGACUGUGAAGAGGCUCCAGUUGCAGUAUUUUUCCCUACUCAUUUGACAAGGUCUCCUUUGUAAUACACACCCCAGAAACAUUGGUAUCUUGCUGGUCAUUAGAUGAUUUGAAUUGAGGGAAUAUUGUUGGGCUGGAAAUGGAGAUGCAUGAGAGCUUUCCAACUAUUGACAAAAGGACAUGCAAUUCUCAAAAAGAGGCUCAAGGCUUAUUUUCAGAAUAAGGACAAGUAUGAUGUUAGAGAUUCGUAUGAGAAGAAAGCUAAGGAGAGUUCAAAGUCGAUCAGUAACUAGAGGCCGAGCUUGAACUUGAACUUCAGAGGAAGAGAUUGUCUAUUGCAGCACUUCAAUCCGUAAAUUUCCAACACAUAAUGGUUGGUGGUAUAAAGGAUGGGCAAGCUGUUUCCGACAACUAAAAUUAA